rnacentral:tRNA from 1 species
ACCUUUGUGGUGUAGUGGUCAGCACGUUCGGCGCGUAUUCGAGAGGUCCGUGGUUCGAGUCCCGGCCAGGGCA